AUAUGUGGCCACAUCAUGUUAAACGCAUUGAUUCUCAUCUGACCACUGAAGUUAAGCAACGUUGAGCCUAGUUAGUGCUUAGAUGGUUGACCAGUUGAGAAACCAAGUGUUGUAAGUA
rnacentral:rRNA from 1 species